ACAAAGCAGAGAAGCAUGUGGUAGCAGAAGUCGACGAGGAUUUUGGUAGCAGUCUUCUCUCUAUUCUCUUCCCUCCUAUUUUCCUAAUUUGCUCAAAUCCAGAGCUCAUAAUGUUCGGUGGUGGCGGCGCUCGUAUUUCCAACCAUUUGCGAGAGUUUAACUACCUCCACCACCAACCCAAGUUAGGGAUUUGCAGUACCAGAAUUGUCCAGCUCUCUUCUUUCAUCUUCACACCUUCCUCCGUUACUAUUAUCGCCGACAAUUGUAAUAAUCGUCAUUUUCGUCAUCGAUUGCAGCAGGGAAUGGUGUCUUCUUCCAGCCUCCAAUCCAAAUCCUCUGGUGAAAUCCCCAUUAUUCCUGAUCGUUUCAGCCUAGAAGAAGAUGAUCAUCAACUCCCAUCUGAAGGGUUGUCUCCUUUGGCAGGAGGAAUAGUAGCACUUGGAAAGUUUGAUGCUCUUCACAUUGGUCAUCGAGAACUUGCUAUUCAAGCAUCAAAAGUGGGAACUCCAUAUCUUUUAUCUUUUGUAGGAAUAGCAGAAGUACUUGGAUGGGAGCCUAGGGCUCCAGUGGUCGCUAAAUGUGAUCGGAGUAGGGUUCUUACCUCCUGGGCCCCAUACUGUGAUAAUGUUGCCCCAUCAGAGUUCGAUAUUGAUUUUUCAAGUGUUCGACAUCUCAACCCACGGCAGUUUGUUGAGAAGUUAUCUAAGGAGCUCAGAGUAUGUGGAGUGGUGGCGGGGGAAAACUACCGGUUUGGAUAUAAAGCUGCUGGUGAUGCAUCUGAGCUUUUGAGGCUGUGUGAAGAGUAUGGUAUGCGGGCUUACAUUAUAAAUUCUGUUAUGGACAAGAAUAAAGAUCCUGGAAACACUGACUCGAAUGAUCUAAAGGAUAGAGGACAAGUCUCAUCCACCCGUGUUCGCCAUGCUUUAGCUCUAGGUGAUAUGAAAUAUGUGUCAGAACUUCUAGGUCGUAGACAUCGUCUCAUGUUAAUGCUAAAAGAACAGAGAGGAUUUAUGAACACUAGUGGUAGAAGGAAGGCCUCAAUUCCAAAGUCUUGUUUAUUGAAUCUUCCACCAAAGGAUGGUUUCUACAAGAACUGUUUUCUUUUAUUUGGUGAUGAGAACCCGGUGAAAUGUAGUGUAUUCAUUGAUUCCACAUAUAUCCAUUUAGAAACAGAUGAGGUAGGUCUUAGUAAUUACAAUGGUUCUCAAGACUUCCAGCUCUUGGGUNNUCUUGGGUGUUGAAUUUGGUCUUUGAGGAACUCAUUGUACUUAAUUUAUUUGUUCUCAAUUUUGCUUUCAUUAAAUUGAAGCAGUUCCUGGCGAAGCUUCAUCAAUGCCUCAAAGAAUGAUGUACACGAGUUGAAGCUCAUAGUAAAUUGUACCUCAAUACAUAUUGAACUUUGUUAACUGUUUCAAUUUAAUGAAAGCAAAAUUGAGAAC
rnacentral:misc_RNA from 1 species